rnacentral:rRNA from 1 species
GACAGAGGUUGCAAACGUUGUUCGGAAUCACUGGGCAUAAAGCGCACGUAGGCGUCUGUUAAGUCAGGUGUGAAAGCCCCCGGCUCAACCGGGGAACAGCAUCUGAUACUGGCAGACUCGAGGAUGGUAGGGGUGAGUGGAACUCCAGGUGGAGCGGUGAAAUGCGUAGAUAUCUGGAGGAACACCGGUGGCGAAAGCGGCUCACUGGACCAUAACUGACGCUGAGGUGCGAAAGCUAGGGUAGCAAACGGG